AUAUAUAUAAACAAACACAAUGAUCGGAACGUGCUAUUUUAAUUAAGGGAAAUUUAAAAGAGAUAAUUUCAAAUAUAUGCAAUAAAUAUGAUUAUGUUUUUACUUUACUACUAUAUAAAAUAGACAGUGCUUAGAACGACCAAUGGUAAGGUGUAAAUAAGCUCAAAUACAUGGACAAAUAUUAAAUAUCAAUAAAGAUAUUUUUUAGUCCAUCAACUUGUUCCAGUUGUUCAUAACUUUGGUAAUUGUUUAAUAAUUACAUAAUUGGUCGACAACUACGAUAAGUUAUUCAAUAACUGCACGAGAUUGUUCAACAACUAAUAUAAUUAUCCUAACUGCACGAGAUAGUUCAACAACUAAUAUAAUUAUCCAACAACUAUCUCAGUGGUUAAAAAAGAAUAAUUUUUUUUUUAACAAAUUUAUGGACCCACUUAUCCCUUCAAUUCCAAUUCCUUUUCAAUGUCCCCUAAGGAGAGAAGGUUCCAAUCGACGUCGCCGAACUCGAUUAUAAAGAUGGCGAUGGCGUUACUGUCGCUGGAAUGACAAAACUGGACAUGCCUCACGGUGGUAAAUCGCCGGUAAUAGGAAAUCGUAAUCCCGUUGUUUCACCGGAUUUUCUAUUUUUUCCUACUAUAUAGAAAGGUCCUUUUAUCUAAAGGACACUUCUGACAUAGGAGAAAAAGAAAGUGCCUUACAAGAUGAUCUAUGUCAAUGUUAGUAACAAGCCCAAAUGGUUCCCGAAGGUGAAUCCAGAAGGAAAAGUUCCAGUGAUCAAUUUUGGUGACAAAUGGAUCUCAGAUUCUGAUGUCAUUGUUGGGCUUCUUGAUUCUCUCUCAUUGCUCCCCCGAAUUUGCCUCUGUUUGGCGAUGCCAGAAGCAAGGCACGUAUAGUCUUGGGUGGUGAAUGGAUACACUCAAUAAGUGACAAGCCCAAAAGGUGCCUUUUAAUCUGCAUGGACCUCAUGGUGUAUCGAGGCAUCUAAAAUAUCUGCUCGAGACAAAUGGGCUAAUGCUCAACAGCCUAAGCUUUUCGUUGGGAUGAUCCUCAUUCUCAUUUUUGCUGAAGCUUUGGCUCUUUAUGGGCUUAUUGUUGCCAUUAUAUUGUCUUCCCAAGCUGGGCAAUCCAGAGCAGAGUGAAGUUGGCUUAUCAACUCUAUUCUUACUGUGGUAUACGUGCAACUUUCAGACUGGGUGGACAUGGGCCAUUGCAAAAAAGAGUUAAUAUCAACGCGAUCACUUCAAAAAUAGACGAGUCGACCUACAAAGGCCAGAUUGUUGAUAAACAACGCCUCUGAAAAACAAAGAAAAAAACCAAAAGAUAUAAACUCAUGAUACUACGGAAUGAAGAGGUAUUCCGUAUUUGUCAUUGUACUCAUUAAUACAUCCAUGUUAGUAGUUCUCUACAUUUCCAUGUCUGUUUUCUUACUUAAGAUGUUAUUAUGCCGAUGAAAUAGGAACAGGAGGAUAUUGAAUUUGAUUUUGAUUAGUUUCAAGUUUAAACAGCCCUAUAUAUAGGAGCCAUAUGUGUAAAGAUAGUCUAUAGACAAUAGACAAUAAUGAACAGAAUUAUGUCAUUCACAGGUAAAAUUUGCAACAAUCACUUGUAAAGUCCUAAUUUUCUAAUUCAAGACAUAUAACAUUUAAUAUAUUUAUCAUACUAUGAAGUUGGCAAUAGUUUUCAUUUUAGCGCUAAUUCAAUCUUGUGCUCUGGCUGGAGUUUCGUCCUGCUGCAGUUUCAUAAUUUUUUUUUUUUGACAUAGGUAACUGUGCGGUUUCAUAAAAUUGUGAUUAAUAACAUAGGAUUAAAUAAAAGAACAAAUGAAUUAUACAGUUGGAGACCAAGUGAUUGUGGGUUCUGAUUCAGUAGUAAAUACAAGAGUGUGAAUUAUACAGUUGGAGACCAAGUGAUUGUGGGUUCUGAUUCAGUAGUAAAUACAAGAGUUUAAAUCGUGACCUUCACCACUUCAAGAAAAGGUAGGACUGAUGGAAGAUGGAAAUCCUUCAUAUUUAGUAGUUAAUCUUAGGUUAAUGAUAUGUAGUAUUGUACUAUUAAUGCUAUUGUAAAUUUCAAACAUUCUAACAAAUUUCAAAAAGUUAGGGAAAAGUGUUGUGUUUCAUGUUGUGAGAUUUUUUUCCACAUCGGCAGAAACAAGGCAGCUGGAGUGAUAUAAAAUGGAAGGAGGGAGCUACUUUAUAACAUACUUACAUGGACGGGUCCAAUGGGCGAUCAUGAAGGCCCAUGGCCUUAGGUUGGUGACCUCCAUUGCACUUUGGAGGGGUGCCUGCCUAGGUCGGCCCAACUGGUUGAGCCUACGUCAUAAUUUGUGGUAACGGACGCGGACCCAACCAAUUUUAAGUCAAAAUUAUCAUGUUCCCUCAGGCCAGUUUCUUAGUGCCCUUUCGCUAACAUAACUGGCGUUUCAGUAUUGAACGUAUAGCUAAAGCCAUUGGAGAAUUCUUCUCCAAUAGGAUCCAAUCCAGAUUCCAAUGGUAAUGAGUCUUCCCAAGAGAUUUUUUCAACUUUCAAAGAUGUCAAUGUGGUUGAAGAAGAUGAAAAGUUUCAGCUUGAGCAGAGGAUUUUGAAUUUCGAAGGUGCUUUUUUUCUUGGGAUUUGUUUGUAAUAUGAACUUUGUUUUAAAAAUUUUCAUGAUCUGAACUUUCUUUCUUUCUCC